UUAUUGUAUGAAAGGAAAGGUCAGGUCUUCUCUUGAUAAGCAUACCAGAGGUCCAAGGGGCCUUUAGCACACAUAUGCAGUUAAGGCAAGCCACUCCAUUGGAUAGCCAACUUUAUUUUUUG
rnacentral:ncRNA from 1 species